rnacentral:rRNA from 1 species
UACGUAGGGUGCAAGCGUUGUCCGGAAUUACUGGGCGUAAAGAGCUCGUAGGCGGUUUGUCGCGUCUGCCGUGAAAGUCCGGGGCUCAACUCCGGAUCUGCGGUGGGUACGGGGCAGACUAGAGUGAUGUAGGGGGAGACUGGAAUUCCUGGUGUAGCGGUGAAAUGCGUAGAUAUCGGGAGGAACACCUGUGGCGAAAGCGGCGCACUGGACCCAUAACUGACGCUGAUGCGCGAAAAGCUAGGGGGAGCAAACAGG